AUUGAACGCUGGCGGCAGGCCUAACACAUGCAAGUCGAGCGGAGCGGCGGACGGGUGAGUAAUGCCUAGGAAUCUGCCUGGUAGUGGGGGAUAACGUCCGGAAACGGGCGCUAAUACCGCAUACUAUCAGAUGAGCCUAGGUCGGAUUAGCUAGUUGGUGGGGUAAAGGCCUACCACGGCGACGAUCCGUAACUGGUCUGAGAGGAUGAUCAGUCACAGUGGAACUGAGGAAGGGGCCAGACACCUGCGGGAGGCAGCAGUGGGGAAUAGUGGACAAGGGGGGAAAGCAGGAUCCAGCCAUGCCGCGUGUGUGAAGAAGGUCUUCGGAUUGUAAAGCCCUUUAAGUUGGGAGGCGUUACCAACAGAAUAGGCACCGGCUAAAUUCGGGCCAGCAGCCGCGGUAAUUC
rnacentral:rRNA from 1 species